GCCUCUGAAAAUAUUAACGUACAUCUUAAGAAAGCCAUGGUUCCUCCAAGUUUUCGCAGUUUCAAAAGUUAAGACGACGAACGAAACAAUUCACGUGGCUCGACUCGUUGCCUCGUGUUCUUCUUUCAAAUUGACUGCACGACCGAUGACGCUUUAAGAUGUGAAAAAUGAGUUGGAUGUUUAUUUAUACCAUUUGUUCAUUCUCUUUGCUUUCUCUUACCAAUCUUACUUUCGUUAGAUAAGUCAUUAAUAUAGAAGCUGAAGAUUAUUGGGAAUAUUUCACGUUCAAAAGAGGAGAGGAGAAAAAUAAAAUAAAAUUAGAGGGCGGAAGAGCGGAAGAGAUGACAUCCGACAUGUAAUUUAUACUCUUCACUCUCUGUGACGAUCUUGCAAUCCUGAUGACACCGAUACGCGCAUAAUGAAUUCUCCAAAACUCUUUGAUCUAAAUUUUUGAUCAAAGUAACUUGGAAAUUGGGGAACGAUUAGAUUUAAUCCUGUUAAAAUAUUUCGCAUUCGUUCAAAUUGAAAAAUCUUCAACGUCAA